GUGCACCAGUCGCGAAAAAACGGAGAGGACGAGUGUUACUCGCAUUGACUGGGUGUAAAGGGUGCGUAGGUGGCUUAUUACGUUUUUGGGUAAAUCCCUAAGCAAAAGGAAACCCUCUAAUACUAUUAGGCUAGAGUUUUUUGGGGGAUGGCCGAACAUUACGUGUAGGGGUGAAAUCCGCAAAUAUGUAAGGGGCGUUCAAUUGGCGGAAGCUGCUUUCCACUUAUAACUGACACUGAGGCACGAAAGCGUAGGUUUCGAACGGGAUUAGAUACCCGGGUAGUCC
rnacentral:rRNA from 1 species